rnacentral:rRNA from 1 species
AGGAUGAACGCUAGCGACAGGCCUAACACAUGCAAGUCGAGGGGCAGCACAAGGAGCAAUCUGAGGUGGCGACCGGCGCACGGGUGAGUAACACGUAUGCAACCUGCCUGUAAGCGGGGAAUAACCCGUUGAAAGACGGACUAAUACCGCAUAAUACUAAAUUACUGCAUGGUAAUUUAUUUAAACAUUUAUGGCUUACAGAUGGGCAUGCGCAUGAUUAGCUAGUUGGAGAGGUAACGGCUCCCCAAGGCAACGAUCAUUAGGGGUUCUGAGAGGAAGGUCCCCCACACUGGUACUGAGACACGGACCAGACUCCUACGGGAGGCAGCAGUGAGGAAUAUUGGUCAAUGGACGAGAGUCUGAACCAGCCAAGUCGCGUGCAGGAAGAAUGUCCCUAUGGAUUGUAAACUGCUUUUGCAGGGGAAUAAAGUGCAUCACGUGUGAUGUUUUGUAUGUACUCUGCGAAUAAGGAUCGGCUAACUCCGUGCCAGCCGCCGC